AAAAUUCUAUUUAAAGAAAUAAAAAAUAGCUACAAUAUCUAACAGGUCUUAAAUUGUUGUUUUUUUUUUUUUUGAGAGAGAUAGGCAGCACGCUACCCGUUUCGUUUAUUUCAUUUAGAAAUAAAUUUAGCUAGAAAUGUGAAUCAACUAGGAUUCGAAUUUGGGUCUCGGGUACCAACCACCAAGCCCUUUGCCACUUACUCUAGGGACGGUCGGUAGUCUUAAAUUGUUGUUAAAAGACCUUGGUAACAAUAGUGUAUAGGUUAUUGUAGAAACAGUAAGUGGUCCAACGGAGUUUAUGGCAAAAAGUUGAGUACUCUAUAUAGAGCUGAAAACACCUAUUUAUGGCUCUAUACAUCUCUAGAGAAAUGUAAUUGUAAGGAUUUGAUUAGAUUAGUAGUUGAUUUUUCAGUUGAAUAAAAAUUAAUAUUUAAAUUUAUUAGAGAUAAAUUAAUAUUUAAAUAUUAAUUAGAGUAUAAAUUUAACUAGAUUAUGAUAAAUAUUUAAAUUUAUUAAAGAUACACUAAAUAUAGAUUUAAAUAUUAUUGGGAGUAGAAAUACUAAUUAUGCUAUCUAGGAUUAAGGUACAUUCUAUUGAUGCACGAUAUAAGUUUUUUUUUUUUUUUUUUUUUUUUUGAGAGAUAGGUAGCAUGCUAUCCGUUUCGUUUAUUUCAUUUAGAAAUAAACUUAGCUAGAAAUGUGAAUCAACUAGGAUUCGAGCUUGGGAUCUCGGGUACCAACCACCAAGCCGUUUGCCACUUGCGCUAGGGACGGUUGGUGAUUCACUAUAUAAGUAUCAUGGUUCUCUUGAGGUGAAGUACGACCAAGUUAAUUAAGUUGAAGUUUGAAGAGGUGAGUACGGUUUAGGCUUGAGAUGUCCGUACUUAGAGAAGUUUGGCCAUGAGUUGACGCACCUAGUGCACAGGUGCAUGUGAGAGAGAAAAGAGAGUUGUUUUCUUAUGGGUUUAUAGAAGACAAGAGAAGGAUAGGAGAGUUCAAAAAGAGGGCUCUGGUUGAAGCUGCUCUAUUAUAGAAGAGGAUCGAGUCAAGUGUAAUCUUCUCUUAUUUAAUAAAUCUUAUAUUACACGUAUAUUUUUUAUUUGAUUUUUCUCUUUUUUGUAAUUAUAUUAGCUUUUAUUGAGGAGGCGGAUUUAUGGUAAAAGCCUGAUUCGACGCUUCCGUUGUUGAAUCCCAACAUUCGGUAUCGGAUCAACAGCAGUUGAUAUCAGAGUGGGUUGUGGAUUCUCAAAAUUUAGUGUCAAGGCGAGUGUCAGAUUCCCAACAAUUGGUAUCAGAACUUAAGAUUAUCGAUCUAUAGGAGAGAUCGAUGGAGCUAGAUGGCCACGAAAUUCGAAAUCGAGAAGUUCGACGGCAAGAGCAAUUUCGAAUUAUGGCAGAUUAAAGUACGGGCAAUCCUUGUAUAACAGGAUUUGGAUGAAACAUUGAACAGGAGAGAGGCAAAGCCAGUGGAGAUCACGGAUGUAGCAUGGAUGAAGAUGGAGUAGAAGGCGUUGAGUACACUUUAUCUAUUAUUAGUAGAUGAGUUUCUUUACAAUGUAGCCAGCGAAACGUCACCGGUGAAGUUGUGAAAGAAAUUAAAAGAUCUGUACAUAACCAAGUCCCUGAUGAACAGAUUGUAUCUGAAACAGCGACUGUUUACACUGCGGAUGCGAGAAACGACGAGCCUAUGCGAGCAUCUGAACGAGUUCAACAAGGUGGUGGCCCAGUUGACUAGUAUCGGAGUCAAUCUGGAUGACGAGGAUAAGACGCUGAUUUUAUUUUCUUCAAUAUGAGUGAGGCUAGGCUUUGCCGACUGAGAAUACCAUUCUAUUUAAUAUGAGUUGAGAAUAAGAUGAAAACCUCCUUAGGCUACUUCCUGAUGCCCCGAUGGCGUAUAAGCAUCUAGUGACCAUGUUACUUUAUGGCAAGGAGACUAUUAGUGCGGAGGCAGUCACAGCGGUAUUUCUCUCGAACGAGAUGUGGAAGAUGACUCAGAAGUCCAGCACGCAGAGCCGUGAUACUGCUCUGGUGUUGAGAGUGAAUAAAAACACGACAACAUCAGCGACUGGAGAUCGACAGAAGAAGCCGCUAUUCGAGGUGAAAUGCUUUUAUUGUCACAGAAAAGGGCAUGUCAAGCGCAAUUGUUGAGAACUUCAGAAUGAUUCGAAGGAGAUAAAGUGACAGAAGGAGAAAACUGUCAUGAAUCAGGACGAGGCGAUAACAGUAAUGGUGUAGGCGGCAAAAUCAGAGAUCAUCGAUUCUGAUGUGCUGUAUGUGGUGACCGAUGGUGCUAAAAUUGCGGAUGAUGCAUGGAUGCUUGAUUCGGCAUGUUCCUUUCAUGUCUGCCCAAAGAAAGAGUUUCUUGCCACCUAUAAGGCGAUUAAGGAUGAAAAGGCUUUAAUGGGGAAUGGGAUGGCGUGCAAAGUUUUGGAAGUCGUCACGUUAAAGAUCUGGAUGCACGACGGGGUCGUGAGAAUGCUAACAGAUGUGUGGCACAUUCCUGGUUUGAAACAAAAUUUGAUCUUAUUAGGCGCGUUGGACUCGAAGGGUUACGAUUUUUCAGUUUCAGGUGGAGCCAUGAGGGUUCGAAAGCGAGAUCGGGUCGUGUGCGAGGUGAACAAUCAUGGGAACUUAUAUGUUCUGAAUGGGAGCACAGUUAGAAUAAGAGCAAAGUCAACUUGGGUUCCAAAAGUUUGCGGAGGUGCAGUCGCUCGAGAUGGAGCAAUGGAUGCAGUGACAUCCGAGUGGGGAAGACAAUCUCAAGGUGGAGCUUGCAUGGUGAGUUCGACGCAGCGGUUCAAGGCUACAAAUCCAUCCAAUGUGGAGAUUAUUAGGAUUUGGUUAGAUUUGUAGUUGAUUUUCUAAUUGGAUAAUAAUUACUAUUUAAAUCUAUUAGAGAUAAAUUAAGAUUUAAAUAUUAAUUAGAGUAUAAAUCUAACUAGUUUGGAAUAAAUAUUUAAAUCUAUUAGAGAUAAACUAAAUAUAGAUUUAAAUAUUAUUUGAAAUAGGAAUUCUAAUUAUACUUGGAUUGGAGUACGUUCAAUUGAUGCAUUAUAUAAGCAUCAUGGUUCUCUUUGAGGUGAAGUACGGCCAAAUUAAUUAAGUUGAUGCUUGAAGAGGUGAGUACAGCUUAAGCUUGGGAUGUCCAUGCAUAGAAAAGCUUGGCCAUGAGUUGAGGCAUCUAGUGCACAGGUGCAUAUGAGAGAGAAAAGAGAGUUGUCUUUUUGUGAGUUUAUAGAAGACGAGAGAAGGAUAGGAGAGAUUCAAAAAGAGGGCUUAGGUUGAAGCUGCUCUAUUAUAGAAAAUGAGUCAGAUAUAAUAUUCUCUUAUUUAGUAAAUCUUAUUUUAUCCGUAUAUUUUUUUUUUUGAUUUUUCUCUCUUUUGUGAUUGUAUUAGCUUUUACUGAGGAGACGAGUUUGUGGUAAAAAUAUGAUUUGACACUUCGCAGAAUCCCAACAUUCAAUACCAAAUUAACAACAGUCAGUAUCGGAGCGGGCCAUGGAUUCUCAAAAUUCAGUGCCAAGGCGAGUACAGGAUUCCCAACAGUAAUAUAGAUUUAGGUAUCUUAUAUUAAAUUGAGUUGGUGAAACUUUGAGUUAAAUGAAAA
rnacentral:lncRNA from 1 species